AUUGAACGCUGGCGGCAGGCUUAACACAUGCAAGUCGAGCGAGCGGCGGAAGGGUGAGUAAUGUAUGGGGAACUGCCCGAUAGAGGGGGAUAACUACUGGAAACGGUGGCUAAUACCGCAUACUAUCGGAUGAACCCAUAUGGGAUUAGCUAGUAGGUGGGGUAAAGGCUCACCUAGGCGACGAUCCCUAGCUGGUCUGAGAGGAUGAUCAGCCACACUGGAACUGAGACACGUCCCAGACUCCUACGGGAGGCAGCAGUGGGGAAUAUUGCACAAUGGGCGCAAGCCUGAUGCAGCCAUGCCGCGUGUGUGAAGAAGGCCUUAGGGUUGUAAAGUACUUUCAGCGGGGAGGCGUUACCCGCAGAAGAAGCACCGGCUAACUCCGUGCCAGCAGCCGCGGUAAUUC
rnacentral:rRNA from 1 species